UUAAAAUGUUUAUUGAUACUGACAAGUGACUCCAUAAAAAUGUGUCAGUGUUACACUUCAGCCAACUAUAUAUGAGAGUUUGUUUCUCUGUACCCUUGACAAAGUUGAACAUUAUCAAUCCUCUUAGUAUUUGUACAUUUGAGAGGUGACAAAUGAUAUCAAUUACAAGGGAGAUUUAGCAUCUUUCUACUUAUUGACUGGUCAUUUACAUUUCUUUCUCUAUAGCUGUAUGUUGCUAUCCUCUGCUAAUUUUUCAAUCUGGUCAUUGAUCUUUCUUUUCUGCGUAGAACUUUUGGCAUGGUUAAAAAAAUUUCCUUUUCUUUCAUAGAUUUGAAAAUAUUUUUAGACUAUUUUCUUUUGACAUUCUCUAAAUUAUUUUAAGUGUGGAAAAUUUAUUAAAAUUAAUGGCAAAAACUGCAAUUACUUUUGCACUAACCUAAUAACUGCUUUAUAAAAUGAAAUCUCUCUUUAUUUUUUUACAAUUUCAGGGUUUAAUCAUGCUUCUAUCUUAUUCCCGAAUUAAAUCAUCAGUGGCUUAAUUACUGUGUAUGGGUCCCUUUAAGCCAGCACCUAAUAAUUUUAGGUGUUCUUGAAAGGAUGUUGCAAAUGGGUUCACAACUCCACUGUCAGCUCAAAUUCUUUCUGGGCUUUGGUCUGUUUCCUCUCCUGCCAUGUCACUUGUUUUCUGAAAGGCAUGUGGAGGCAGGUGCCUGUGUCUAUCCUAGAGACACCAACACUCAUGAGUGAGAAGAAUGUUGUCCUUAUAUGAUCUCAGAUGCCAGUCCUCAGGAUGUCAGAAUAGGUUUGGUUGGUUCAGUGUAGUGGCACAAAUGUCUCUCUUUGUAAAGUGCCUUUUUCAUGUAGUUUCUGUAUACGCCUGGCAAAUCACCAGUUAUUCUUAAUAUCCUUUGAUGGUUUCUCCUAACUUCCUGUUGAUUCAAUGCUAUAUUUAUCCAUCAGGAAUCAGGCACUGAUUGCUUCUUUGUCUAACAGCAUUCACUUUUUUAGUGAUCUCAGUUAAUUUCAUGGCAAUAAGCUAAUGCUUCCCUGCUAUGUAGUCUCCGGUAUAAUUGUACCCUGAACCUAUCUCCUUCUUUAGAUUUAUAUACCCAAGUGCCAGUUAAGUAUUUCCACUUGCUUAUCUAAUAGACAACUCAUGAUUAACAAGUCCAAAAUUGACUCCUUAUCCUCACUCCCAAGUCUUCAGCCCUCAGUAACUGAUAAAUCCAUAUUUCAUCUGCUCAGUCCAAAAAUGUGGGAGUCAUUCCUUGUAGUUCACAUCACACCCCAUAUCCAAUCUGUCUGGAAAUUCAUCUAGUUCCAACUUCAAUAUAUAUUCAUAACCCAAACAGUUUUCAACGCUCCUACUGAUAUGUACCUGGUCCAAGACACCAUCCUGCCCUGUCCUCUUUCUUCUAGAAUUCUGCUCAAGCCCCUACCUGGCCUUCCUAUGUACGCCCUUUGGUCCUACAAUCUAUCUCUAUAUAUUCCCCAGAAAGAUCCUUUUAAAACAUGUCAGAAUAUUUUACUUCUCUGCUCAAAAUUCUCACAUGGCUUCCCAUAUUACUCAUUAAAGACUCACACCUUCACAAUUGGCCUUAAAGCCCUACAUUAGUUCAUCCCUCUGCUAUUUUGCUGACUUCAUCUCCAAUACGCCCUACUCACUCACUGAGCUCCAACCAUGGUUUUUUUUUUUUUUUUUUUUUUUUUUUUUGCCAUUUUUUGAAUACACUAAGAAGGUAUCCUUAGAGCCUUGGCA
rnacentral:lncRNA from 10 species